rnacentral:lncRNA from 1 species
UGGAAACCACUUUUAUUGCUUACUUUCUUCUAUAUUCUGGAAUGACAUAUCAUUUACACUUUCUGCUAUUUAUAUAAGCAUUUUUAUUUGAUUUUUCUAAUAAAAAACUUGACCUUCUUCUUUCAUACCACUGUAUCACGAACUAUGAAGUAAAAGUUAUAAUUUUCUUUAAAUAAUGUAAUUUAUGGAAAAUAUAUAUAUUUUUAUUUAUAAUUCUAAUUAUUAAAAAAAGGCAGCAUUUCCUUUCACUACAUUAUAACAC